rnacentral:rRNA from 1 species
UACGAAGGGGGCUAGCGUUGCUCGGAAUCACUGGGCGUAAAGCGCACGUAGGCGGAUUGCUAAGUCAGGGGUGAAAUCCUGGAGCUCAACUCCAGAACUGCCCUUGAUACUGGCGGUCUCGAGUCCGGGAGAGGUGAGUGGAACUGCGAGUGUAGAGGUGAAAUUCGUAGAUAUUCGCAAGAACACCAGUGGCGAAGGCGGCUCACUGGCCCGGUACUGACGCUGAGGUGCGAAAGCGUGGGGAG